rnacentral:rRNA from 1 species
CCCUUAGAUGUUCUGGGCCGCACGCGCGCUACACUGAUGCAUUCAACGAGUCUAAAACCUGCUCUGAUAGGGGUGGGUAAUCUUUUGAAUGUGCAUCGUGAUUGGGAUAGAUGAUUGCAAUUUUUCAUCUUCAACGAGGAAUGCCUAGUAAACGCAAGUCAUCAGCUUGCAUUGAUUACGUCCCUGACCUUUGUACACACCGCCCGUCGCUCCUACCGAUUGAAUGAUCCGAUGAAUAUCAUGGAUUGAGGAUUAUAGCAGGUUCGCCUGUCUUGAUCUUCGAGAAGUGAAGUAAAUCUUAUCAUUUAGAGGAAGGAGAAGUCGUAACA